CUUGGUCAUUUAGAGGAAGUAAAAGUCGUAACAAGGUUUCCGUAGGUGAACUGCGGAAGGAUCAUUACAGAAAGUAAACGCGGGUCAAACCGCGAACUUCUAAACCUUUGACGAUUGACUCAUGUUGCCUCGGCGGGUUCGCCCGCCAGAGGAUACAUCAAAACUCCUGUUUUAACGGUGUUGUCUGAGCUACAAGCAACGAAUCAAAACUUUCAACAACGGAUCUCUUGGUUCUGGCAUCGAUGAAGAACGCAGCGAAAUGCGAUAAGUAGUGUGAAUUGCAGAAUUCAGUGAAUCAUCGAAUCUUUGAACGCACAUUGCGCCCCUUGGUAUCCCGAGGGGCAUGCCUGUUCGAGCGUCAUUUCACCACUCAAGCCUGGCUUGGUGUUGGGCGACGUCCCUUUGGGACACGCCUCGAAACGCUCGGCGGCGUGGCACCGGCUUUAAGCGUAGCAGAAUCUUUCGCUUUAAAAGUCGGGGCCCCGUCUGCCGGAAGACCUACUCGCAAGGUUGACCUCGGAUCAGGUAGGGAUACCCGCUGAACUUAAGCAUAUCAAUAAGCGGAGGA
rnacentral:rRNA from 1 species